rnacentral:rRNA from 1 species
UACGUAGGGUGCGAGCGUUAAUCGGAAUUACUGGGCGUAAAGCGUGCGCAGGCGGCUUGGCAAGACAGAUGUGAAAUCCCCGGGCUCAACCUGGGAACUGCAUUUGUGACUGCAAGGCUAGAGUACGGCAGAGGGGGAUGGAAUUCCGCGUGUAGCAGUGAAAUGCGUAGAUAUGCGGAGGAACACCAAUGGCGAAGGCAAUCCCCUGGGCCUGUACUGACGCUCAUGCACGAAAGCGUGGGGAGCAAACAGG